AAUUCAAGAGUUCAAGGACAUAGCCAUUAUUGAUGGCCAUGCUGCCAAGUCACAAAUUCAAGGAAGUAAAAAGAGGAUUGUUACCGCCACCAACAUCAAGUCCCAACCAACAAAAUCCUCCAGCACCAAAGCAAGCAGCAAGUCCUCCAAGCCUACAUCAAGUGACCCUGUUUGUAAACCAAUGAAAAGCUGAAGGGGAGUGACCAAGACUCCAACAGGGCAAGAGAUGCUUGCUAGCUUGCUGCUGCAUACUUGUGCUUUCACUGUUGUGCUGCUGCUGGUCCUAAUUCUUGUCGUCGCCUUACAUUUUGAUGAUUUGUAAUAUGUAUUGAGUACUAAGUUAUAUGGAUCUCUUGUGGAGAACUAUAUUAUGUAUUUGUGGUUAUCUACUGCUAUAGUCUUGUGGAUUUUUAUAUGUAUGAUUUUGGUACUCUUAUUUUAUAA